rnacentral:ribozyme from 1 species
UUGGUGUGCUGCUGAUGAUGACGACGGCACAUGCAGAAGAUGAGCAGCAAGCGUGCUGCUUCUUCCUUCUUCAACAAAAAAAAACAUUUUAAAUUA